GUUCAUCUUUCAUAAGUCUAAGAAUUUCACCUUUUCUGUGAAAUAUAAAUGCCUCCGACUGUCCACUGGUGCAGGAGUGUUGGAUUGACAG
rnacentral:rRNA from 1 species